GAUGAACGCUGGCGGCGUGCCUAAUACAUGCAAGUCGAGCGAAUGGAUUAAGAGCUUGCUCUUAUGAAGUUAGCGGCGGACGGGUGAGUAACACGUGGGUAACCUGCCCAUAAGACUGGGAUAACUCCGGGAAACCGGGGCUAAUACCGGAUAACAUUUUGAACCGCAUGGUUCGAAAUUGAAAGGCGGCUUCGGCUGUCACUUAUGGAGCGACCCGCGUCGCAUUAGCUAGUUGGUGAGGUAACGGCUCACCAAGGCAACGAUGCGUAGCCGACCUGAGAGGGUGAUCGGCCACACUGGGACUGAGACACGGCCCAGACUCCUACGGGAGGCAGCAGUAGGGAAUCUUCCGCAAUGGACGAAAGUCUGACGGAGCAACGCCGCGUGAGUGAUGAAGGCUUUCGGGUCGUAAAACUCUGUUGUUAGGGGAGAACAAGUGCUAGUUGAAUAAGCUGGCACCUUGACGGUACCUAACCAGAAAGCCACGGCUAACUACGUGCCAGCCGCCGCAGUAA
rnacentral:rRNA from 1 species